rnacentral:sRNA from 1 species
AGAGGAAUUCCUGAGGCUGCCCUGCCCACAAGCUAUGUGUCCUGACUUACACCCUUCCAAGUAAAUCUAAUAUGGAGUGUGCCGGUGGUAGUCUUGUGAGCCUCAAUGUUUAGUUAAAGGUAGAAAGACCCCCGGUGGGCAUUACGGAGUGGCUGUGCUUGUUAUUUUAACUGUGUGUGCAUCUUUAUUAUCUCUAAAAUGGUGAUGAUAAUACUACCUACUUUCCAGAGUUGUUAUAAAGUGUCUAAUCCAUAGGUAUGUGCAGCUGCCAUUGUCAUCAUCAUCAUCACCAUUGAAGGGAGGCCAGGAGGCCUUUUCUCCUUUGGGUCUGAAUGCUGGUGCUUUUUAUGCCUUGUCCACUCUGCUGAAUCGCAUGGUGAUCUGGCACUACCCGGGGGAAGAAGUGAAUGCUGGAAGAAUUGGCCUGACGAUCGUCAUUGCAGGAAUGCUUGGGGCUGUGAUCUCAGGAAUCUGGCUGGAUAGGUCCAAAACCUACAAAGAGACAACCCUGGUAGUCUAUAUCAUGACACUGGUGGGCAUGGUGGUGUACACAUUUACCUUGAACCUGGGACACCUGUGGGUAGUGUUCAUCACUGCUGGCACAAUGGG